UUCCGGUUGAUCCUGCCGGACCUUACUGCUAUCGGGGUGGGACUAAGACAUGCGAGUCGAGCGUCUCUAGCUAUGUUGAGACGCGGCAGACGGCUCAGUAACACGUGGCUAACCUACCCUCAGGACGAGGACAAACCCGGGAAACUGGGGCUAAUACUCGAUAGGUGAGAAUGUCUGGAAUGAUUUCUCAUUCAAAGGGCUUUAGAAACAUGCUUCUAAAGUCGCCUGGGGAUGGGGCCGCGUCCGAUCAGGUUGUUGGUGAGGUAACGGCUCACCAAGCCUAUAACCGGUACGGGCCGUGAGAGCGGUAGCCCGGAGAUGGGUACUGAGACAAGGACCCAGGCCCUACGGGGCGCAGCAGUCGCGAAAACUCCGCAAUGCACGAAAGUGUGACGGGGCUACCCCGAGUGCCAUCCGCUGAGGAUGGCUUUUCUUUGGUGUAACUAGCCGGGGGAAUAAGGAGAGGGCAAGACUGGUGUCAGCCGCCGCGGUAAUACCAGCUCUCCGAGUGGUAGGGAUGAUUAUUGGGCUUAAAGCGUCCGUAGCCGGCUUAGCAAGUCUCCUGUUAAAUUCAGCGACCUAAUCGUUGAGCCGCGGGAGAUACUACUAGGCUAGGAGGCGGGAGAGGUCGACGGUACUUCUGGGGUAGGGGUGAAAUCCUAUAAUCCUUGUAGGACCACCAGUGGCGAAGGCGUCAGACUGGGAACGCGCCUGACGGUGAGGGACGAAAGCCAGGGGAGCGAACCGGAUUAGAUACCCGGGUAGUCCUGGCCCGUAAACGAUGCAUACUAUGUGAUGGCACGGCCAUGAGCCGUGUCAGUGCCGUAGGGAAACCGUUAAGUGUGCCGCCUGGAAGUACGGUCGCAAGGCUAAAACUUUAAGGAAUUGGCGGGGGAGCACCACAAGGGGUGAAGCCUGCGCUCAAUUGGACUCAACGCCGU
rnacentral:rRNA from 1 species